AUGCUGCACUCAAUAUGCCAGCAAGUUUGGAAAACUCAGCAGUGGCCACAGGACUGGAAAAGGUCAGUUUUCAUUUCAAUUCCAAAGAAAGGCAAUGCAAAAGAAUGCUCAAACUACCGCACAAUUGCACUCAUCUCACAUGCUAGUAAAGUAAUGCUCAAAAUUCUCCAAGCCAGACUUCAGCAAUACGUGAAUCAUGAACUCCCUGAUGUUCAAGCUGGUUUUAGAAAAGGCAGAGGAACCAGAGAUCAAAUUGCCAACAUCCGCUGGAUCAUGGAAAAAGCAAGAGAGUUCCAGAAAAACAUCUAUUUCUGUUUUAUUGACUAUGCCAAAGGCUUUGACUGUGUGGAUCACAAGAAACUGUGGAAAAUUCUGCAAGAGAUGGGAAUACAAGACCACCUGACCUGCCUCUUGAGAAAGCUGUAUACAGGUCAGGAAGCAACAGUUAGAACUGGACAUGGAACAACCAACUGGUUCCCAAUUGGAAAAGGAGUACUUCAAGGCUGUAUAUUGUCACCCUGCUUAUUUUACUUAUAUGCAGAGUACAUCAUGAAAAACGCUGGACUGGAAGAAACACAAGCUGGAAUCAAGAUUGCUGGGAGAAAUAUCAAUAACCUCAGAUAUGCAGAUGACACCACCCUUAUGGCAGAAAGUGAAGAGGAGCUAAAAAGCCUCUUGAUGAAAGUGAAAGAGGAGAGCGAAAAAGUUGGCUUAAAGCUCAACAUUCAGAAAACGAAGAUCAUGGCAUCUGGUCCCAUCACUUCAUUGGAAAUAGAUGGGGAACCAGUAGAAACAGUGUCAGACUUUAUGUUUGGAGGCUCCAAAAUCACUGCAGAUGGUGACUGCAGCCAUGAAAUUAAGAGACGCUUACUCCUUGGAAGGAAAGUUAUGACCAACCUAGAUACUAUAUUCAAAAGCAGAGACAUUACUUUCCUGACUAAGGUCCAUCUAGUCAAGGCUAUGGUUUUUCCAGUGGUCAUGUAUGGAUGUGAGAGUUGGACUGUGAAGAAAGCUGAGCGCCAAAGAAUUGAUGCUUUUGAACUGUGGUGUUGGAGAAGACUCUUGAGGGUCCCUUCGACUGCAAGGAGAUCCAACCAGUCCAUUUUGAAGGAGAUCAACCCUGGGAUUUCUUUGGAAGGAAUGAUGCUAAAGCUGAAACUCCAGUACUUUGGCCACCUCAUGGGAAGAGUUGACUCACUGGAAAAGACUCUGAUGCUGGGAGGGAUUGGGGGCAGGAGGAGAAGGGGACGACAGAGGAUGAGAUGGCUGGAUGGCAUCAUGGACACGAUGGAUAUAAGUCUGGGUGAACUCCAGGAGUUGGUGAUGGACAGGGAGGCCUGGCGUGCUGCAAUUCAUGGGGUCGCAAAGAGUCGGACACGACUGAGUGGCUGA
rnacentral:lncRNA from 1 species